GUCUCCUUAGGCUCCUCUUGGCUGUGACAGUUUCUCAGACCUUCCUUAUUUGUGAUGACCUUGACAGUUUUGAGGAGUCCUGGUCAGGCUGUAUCCUAGUCCAGUCGUCCUGAGACCACCAAGAACAAACCUUUAGUCUGCCAGUCAGCUCAGUUGAUCCACUGCAGUGAGGGAGGCUCCCAGCUUUCUGGCUGGCUGAGAAAACUGGCCUGUCUGGUCCGGGUUCUGCUGCACUCCACACUCCCCCACCCCCAC